CCGAAUUUGGUAUCAAAGCAAGUAAAAAACAAGGUCGAAAAAUGAUACCGGAAAAAAUUGACAAAUUAAACUUAGUUUCACAAUAAUAGAAGUAUUUCAAGACUCGCUUCUCUCAAACGCAAUCCAAAAAUCUCAACUAAGAGUAAAGGUGCUGCUGCUGCUAUGGAGUAAAGGUGCUAGGAAGAAAAUGAAGGGAUGUAGUGUGAGGUUAUGAGAAUUGGGAUAUUUAAAUUUUUCAGAAAGGGUAAAAAAGAUAUUUUAAGUUUAUUAUGGAGGUGUAUGAAUAACCAAUGGAGGUGGAGGGAGAAUUUCUCAAAUAAUAAUAACUAAACAUAUCUGAGUCAGUGACCCAACCGUUCUUGUUUCGGCGUUCUGGGCUCAGCCUAUUCUAUUAUUGCUAAAUCUUUCGGCUUCUGCUUCCUGCACCCCUACAUUUUUCUUUCUGCACCCCCACAAUUUUUAAAAUUCCAAAACUGACCUUAAUCUAUUAUUUAAAAAGGGGCCCUGGAUUUUCUUUGCUACUGUUCAUCUUCUUCAUUCAUCUCAGGUGCUGGUGCAUCCAGGGUCUUUGUAGUUGUGCAGAGCAAGGUAAAGAAGUAGGAUCAGGAUUGAGUAAUGUGCUUCGGAUUGAUGAAUCCAGAAUUGAGUAAUGUAUUACGGAAUCAUCAAUCUGGAAUUGAAUAAUGUGUUACGGAUUCAUCAAACCGGAAUAUUAUCGGAAAUAGAAAUCCGAAAUUUUACCAGAAACAUCAAUCCAAAAUUUCUACAGAUUCCAUAAUUUGGAAUGUGAAAAAACAUAUACAUAUUCUUUAUUCCGUAAAACUACCGGAAUGCAUUAUCUGAAAUAUUAUAAAUGAAAUGUAGAAAUGAAAAUCCAAAAAAAAAGAUAGAAGUAGAGAUCCAAAAACCAUAAAUUUUACUUACCUUCAAGUUGACAAUAUCACCCUAAAGUAUAAAGAGAUGUGGAGUUCUGGAAUGGCGUCGUACGGAAUGAGGAUCUGGGAGUUGCGGCUGCACUGGGAGGAAUAAAAUGAAAGUGAGAGUUUUAGGGUUUUUAG
rnacentral:lncRNA from 1 species